rnacentral:lncRNA from 1 species
UCCCCACUGUCCCCAUGUCCUGUGUGCCCUGUCAUCCCCAUGUCCCUGCUGUCCCAUGUGCCUCCGUGUCACCGCUGUCCCCGUGUCCUCCCAUGUCCCUGCUGUCCCCAUGUGCCCUUCCAUCCCUGUGUGCCCUGCUAUCCCUGUGUCCCUGUGUGCUGCAUCCCGCUGUCCUUGUGUCCUGUGUGCCCUGCCAUCCCCAUGUCCUUGUGUGCCCCCACGUGCCACUGUCGCCCCUGUGUCCCUGUGUGCCCGUGUCCUGCUGCCCUCGUGUCCUCCCGUGUGCCCUGCCAUCCCUGUGUCCAUGUACUCCUGUGUCCCCAUGUCCCCCCACGUCCCCCUGCGUGCCCUGCUGUCCCUGUGUCCCCAUGUGUCCCUGCGUGUCCCAUGUCCCCUGCGUGCCCUGCCACCCCCAUGUCUCCACGUCCCCCCGCGUGUCCCCGCGUGCCCCGUGGCGGCGGCAGUGGCGGCGGUGGCGGCUCACCCGGCGUGCGGCUGCCCGGCACCUUCAUGUAGAGCUGCACGGUGUUCAUGCCCAGGAUGGUGUGGCCCACGUGGCUCAGCAUGUUCCCCGUGGACGAGACCCGCAUGAAGGCCGGCAGCUUCAGCAGCUCCUGCAGCUGCGGCUUCCACCUGCGCGGCCCCGCGUCACCACGGUGAGCCACGGCGAGCCACGGCGCCCACGGGCCACGGCACCCGCUACCCCGCGUCACCACGGGCCACAGCACCCACGGGCCACAGCACCUGCUGCCCCAUGUCACCACAGGCCACGGCGCCCACGGGCCACGGCACCCGCUGGCCACAGCACCCGCUACCCCACAGCACCCACGGGCCACGGUGAGCCACGGCGCCCAUGGGCCACGGCACCCACUGCCCCAUGUCACCACGGGCCACGGCACCCGCUGGCCACAGCACCAUGGGCCACGGCACCCGCUGCCCCAUGUCACCAAGGGCCACGGCACCCGCUGGCCAUGUCACCGUGGACUGUGGCACCCACUGGCCACAGCACCCAUGGGUCACAGCACCCACUGCCCUGCGUCACCAAGGGCCACGGUGCCACGGGCCACAGCACCCACUGCCCCGUGUCACCACAGGCCACGUCACCGCUGGCCACAGCACCCACAGGCCCUGUCACCCACUGCCCAAUGUCACCAAGGGCCACGUCACCAAGGGCCACGUCACUGCAGGCCACGGCACGCAUGGGCCCUGUCACCCGCUGCCCCGUGUCACCACAGACCACGUCACCGCUGGCCACGGCACCCGUGGGCCCUGUCACCCGCUGCCCCACGUCACCCGCCGCCCCGCAGCC